AUGGUCAAUUAUCUGUACAGCUGGGAACCACAACCACCAGCAUGCUGUGUGGGCAAUGGGCAGAGAGCAGAUGGCUACAUCGCUGGGAACCAUGGUCACCCACAUGCAGCAGAUAACGAAUGGUGGAUGGAAGGCUACCUCGCUGGGAACCAUGGUCACCCACAUGCAACAGAUAACGAAUGGUGGAUGGAAGGCUACCUCGCUGGGAACCAGGACCAUGACUUAUUAUGGGAAAUCGGUGGCGAACGGAUGGCUACCUCGCCGGGUACCUCAACUCCUAGGCACUUGGCCAACUGGUGCAUGGACGUGAUGACUUUGUGGCGUUUAUGGACCAAUCAACUUGUAAUCAUGGAUCUUAUGUGUCUUCUAGACCAUUUGUUGUUUUGUUAUUUCGGAGCUUGCAUUUUGUGCAUGUGGAUACAGACUUGUAUGUUCUGGACCAUCUAG
rnacentral:rRNA from 1 species